UACCGGCGCCUCAAGUGGUAGUCGCUUUUAUUGGGCCUAAAGCAUCCGUAGCCGGCUCUGUAAGUUUUCGGUUAAAUCCAUGUGCUCAACGCAUGGGCUGCCGAAAAUACUGCAUAGCUAGGGAGUGGGAGAGGUAGACGGUACUCGGUAGGAAGGGGUAAAAUCCUUUGAUCUAUCGAUGACCACCUGUGGCGAAGGCGGUCUACCAGAACACGUUCGACGGUGAGGGAUGAAAGCUGGGGGAGCAAACCGG
rnacentral:rRNA from 1 species